rnacentral:misc_RNA from 1 species
GGGAGUAAAAGUCGUAACAAGGUUUCCGUAGGUGAACCUGCGGAAGGAUCAUUAUUGUAUAACCGAGGUGCGAGGGCUGUCGCUGACCCGAAAGGUCGUGCACGCCCGAGUGCCCUCACACACAUCCACCUCACCCCCAUGUGCACCACCGCGUGGGUCCCCCUUUGGCUUGUUCGGAGGGGGGCUUACGUUUUCACACAAACUUUGUAUGCAGUGUAGAAUGUAUUUUUUGUUUUUGCGAUCACGCAAUCAAUACAACUUUCAACAACGGAUCUCUUGGCUCUC